AACUCUCCAUCCCCCACUCCCCGGUGCCAGCGCUCGGCUUCGGUGGAUUCUCCCGGGUCUGGGCUCACGUCUCCUCUGCGCGCCUUGUGCUCCCCAUCCCGCAGAUACGCAGCCUUCUGGAGACCCUGGGUGGACGCCGGAGGCAAGAAAGAAGAGCAGACGCCGAACCACGCCGCGGAGGCGGUGAGUGAGCUACGCGUCUCAGGCCGCGCCUCCCACGGGUGCAGAAGAUCGACCAGGGCUCUCGGGACGCAGGGCCUGAGAGAGACAUGCGAGACACCGGUCCUGCCUCUCGCUUAACAUCCUGCCUGCCGGUGGCCGUAAAGGUGCCCACGCGGCGGAUGUGUCCUCUGGAGCGAUGGGCCACAGGCACCCAGCCGGGAGCGAGGCUGCUGAGAGCCCUGGGGUUACAUUCCCAGCGGGCACGAGGAACACUGGGUCGUGCACGUUUCCACUUUCUAGAAGGAGGUGGGUGAUAACUGGAUUCACUUCCUUUCCUCUCCAGAUGCCCGAUGGCCCUGGAAUGACCGCAGCCUCAGGAAAGCUUUCCCAAUUCAGGCACCCAGUCAGGUGAGUGACAGGCCUCACCAAAGGUCUCCCGCUCCUCCAGCCCCAAGGAGGAGCCAGGGGCAUCGUGCAGCCCAGCUCCGCAGCUGGUCCUGCAGUCUCUCUCUCUCUCUGAAAAUCUGGCUUCAAGGUUACUUAUCUUCUCACUCAUCAAAUUGAAAAAGGUAGGGGCUCACGGUCUCACGUAAAGGGACUAUUGAUCAAUACAUACUCAGUGAACUUGAUGCAUAUAUUAUGAAGAGGGAAAGGGGAUGAUAUGGUAAAAGAGCCGUGACAUCUUGUGCUGGCAAAACAGUUUUUGUUUUUAAAUCCUAAAGGGUUCGAAUGAAAUUGACUUCGCAUCAGGCAGAGUGUGUAUGCUGCUUUUGUCUUGCAAUCUGGAAGGAAGAAUGGGAUUAACAGUUACAGUCUUACAGCAAAUCAAGUUUGCCGAGUAGGAAAAAAUAGAAAUGUAAUGAAAAUCCUAAAGAUUAUUGAGGAUGGUUAUAGAAAGGGUCAAAAGUUUAUUUAACAUGCCGAGCUAGUUUACUGUUCCUAGCCACAGGAAGUCAGCCGUUAUCUAAGAUUCUGUGUCACUUUUAUUCAGGUGAAAUGUUAAUAAUUCUGCAGUUUUCCUGCCUCCGAGAGCUGUUAAAUGAAGAGCUGAAUGAUGUUUGUGAAGUGCCUGUGGUCAUAAAUAGCACAUAGAAGUCAUUACAUCUAAUUUCCUACCACGUACUAGCACUGGUGAAGGACACAGGAAAAAGUAGUCACAGCACAUGGCAAAUGUAAUGGAAUUUAGUUUGGUUAGUUUUACAAGUAUGGGCAGGGCACGAAGUGCCUAAAUCUGUCAGUGGUAGGGGGAAGGGUCAGGGAAGUGUAUAUUAUAAGUUGUGGUUACCUGGUUGAGUCUUGGAAAAGUUAGAUGAAUGGGAAGUGGGAGCAAAAGAAAUAGCAUUGGAAAAGAGAAGCAGGAUCAUGAAACGGUGUGGCUUCUUGUGGGAACUCCAAGGAGUUUAGGUGUGUGAAGUUGUGGUCAUUUUAGCAGGGUAAUCAGAGGUCAAAUCUUGCACAGAGUUUUGUCCUGAUCCUGUAUGUAGUGUUGGGAACCCAUGGGCUUUAUUCCAAAGGUAGUCUUGGGGGUUAUAUGUUAAAUAGGCUUAGUCAGGACAUCAGAAGUAAAACUGGAAGUUCUGCAAUUUUUCAGGUAAGAAAUAAUGAUGAGCCAUUGUAAGACAGUGGAAGUGAGGGUGAGACUGGGUGAAUCUAGAAAAUACUUGGAUGACAAAAUAGUUUAGGCUUUAUAAUGUAUUGGAUAUGGUAGAUAAAGAAGAGGUAAAAGGCCAGAAUGGCUCCUAAGUUUGUGGCUGGUGAGCAGGUGAAUGCUGUACUAAAAGAAUGUAAAUUAGGGCCGAAAACAGAUUUGAGAGGUGAGACCAUGAGUCAAGUUUUCCACUUAUCAUAUUUAAUGAGCCUAUGGGGCAUUCAAAGAGUGAUAUCCUGUAGAGAACUGCAUACGUUAAGUUAGGGGCCCAGAGUCAAGAUCUUAAGUGGAAAUACAGACUUGGGAGUCCAUGGUAAAUGUAGGGUGGGGAAAUCAUGACAGUGGGCCAGGUCAUCCUAGUUUGUUUAGAGGGAGGGCUGAUGUUCUCAAUGAAAACCUGAGGGAAGGCCAGCAUCUAACCAGUACACAGAGAAAGAGAGGUCCACAAAGGAGACUGAGAAGAAUCAGAACAGGAAGAAGCUCAGAAAAGUAUGCAGGCCCUGGGAGAAAAAUGGCCUACAAUGAGAAAUUCUGGACAGAGUAUCAUAAUGACUAGCAUUCUUUGGGUUUGCCAGUUCCAGUUACGCAUUAGGAAAUAAAUUGUUUCUUAUAUAAGAAAUUCCUUUCUUUUCUGAAGUACGGUUACAAUUUAAUUGUGCUUCUAAUAUUUUAUUUUUAUUCAUUUAUAUCUUGACUAAUAUGGUGUGUUUUAUUCUUUUUAUUCAGCUGUCAACUUUUUGAGGGUAGGGACCAUGAUUUAUUCAUCUUUAAAUUGUGAAUUAUGUUGGCACAAGGGAUCACUAAAAUAUUUAUUGAACGACUGAAUAAUUGAUAGUUACCUGUUUAAGCAUCAAAAAUAGAAACUUUUUUAUGAUUUUUGCUGGAAACAUUUAUAAACUGCAUUGUUUGUUUUUCUGCCUUUUAAAGUGGAGCAUACUGAACAUAAUGUAAUCUUCCAUUUGUUGGAAUGACUCCAUUGUAUGGAUAUAUGGGCUGUUUACCCUACACUAAAAUGACUGCACUGUACUUGGUGAUUCAGCCUUAUCUCUCCUCUUUCUUUUCCUUGAUGAAGACCAGAAGCCAAGAUUAGUAUUUGUCAGGUUUUUGAAAUUCUGAGGUAAUCAUACUUACAUGCCAGUUAUUUGUAUAAAACAUAUAUAAUUUCUCAACAUUUCAUAUGAUAUUCACAAAUUUAGUUGAAUGGGGAGAAGACAGGCAGAUAGAAUCAAAGUUGAGGUCAAAAGUAGUCUUUCUAUGCCUCAAGUUGUGAGUGCAUAGACAAAAAUUUUAAAAUACUGGUUUUUAUACAUUUUUAAACUUACAUUGUCUACUUCUGUAAGAGUUAAAUCUGUGAGUUUUAAGUAAGAUAAUAGGUUAUUUCCACCUUUUUGUAAGGUGCAUAAUAUUUUGUCAUCUUUAUAAAGCUGGCUAUCAUUAAAGUUUUUAAUGUAGUGGUAGAACUCAAUUCAUUUUUUCCAAAGGAAUUUAGAAACUGGAAGACAAAUCUUCUAUAUAUUAUAAGAAUAAAUAUAUCCAUAAUGUACAAAGUAAGGUAAACAUUGAUCUUAUGCAUAUACAGGGUUUAGUGUAAAUUUGUUUGAUCCAAUUUACAGCUUGAAUAAAGAUUUAAAAUAAUCAAAGAGUUAUUGAUACUUGGGCAAGUAGAUUCCAUGAAAGCUGUGAUAGUAGCAUAUUUUAACUCCGUAUCUUAAGUCUAUAUCCAAAUGUAUAAGUCAAUUGUUAAAUAUAUGGAGCUCUUGAAAUUUGACCAUUUCAUGAGUUUAAAGAUUCUGAAUGUGAAAAAAUAAAACAUGUUGUCUGCUUCUUUCAGACUAUUUUGGCCAAAAUCAAAAUGUUAUGAUUACUUAUAUCAAGAAGCAGAAGCUCUUCUGAAAUAUUUUCCAAUUCAAGCCACAAUUUCAUUUUAUGAAGAUUCUGAUAGCGAAGAUGAAAUUGAGGAGCUGACCUGUGAAAAUUAAUCUGAUUAGCUACUUUUGAUUAUAUCCAAAGCUUGUAGGGUUUAAAUUUAGUGUACAAAUGUAUCAUAAUUAUUUUAAACUAAUUUAUUUGUAUAUAAAUUAUUAAUAAAAUGAAAUAUUUUGU
rnacentral:sRNA from 1 species